rnacentral:rRNA from 1 species
UACGAAGGGGGCUAGCGUUGCUCGGAAUCACUGGGCGUAAAGCGCACGUAGGCGGCUUGUUAAGUCAGGGGUGAAAUCCUGGAGCUCAACUCCAGAACUGCCUUUGAUACUGGCGAGCUUGAGUCCGGGAGAGGUGAGUGGAACUGCGAGUGUAGAGGUGAAAUUCGUAGAUAUUCGCAAGAACACCAGUGGCGAAGGCGGCUCUCUGGGACGGUACUGACGCUGAGACGCGAAAGCGUGGGGAGCGAACAGG